rnacentral:rRNA from 1 species
GAUGUACGCUGGCGGCGUGCCUAAUACAUGCAAGUCGAGCGAACGGACGAGAAGCUUGCUUCUCUGAUGUUAGCGGCGGACGGGUGAGUAACACGUGGAUAACCUACCUAUAAGACUGGGAUAACUUCGGGAAACCGUAGCUAAUACCGGAUAAUAUUUUGAACCGCAUGGUUCAAAAGUGAAAGACGGUCUUGCUGUCACUUAUAGAUGGUUCCGCGCUGCAUUAGCUAGUUGGUAAGGUAACGGCUUACCAAGGCAACGAUGCAUAGCCGACCUGGGAGGGUGAUAGGCCACACUGGAACUGAGACACGGUCCAGACUCCUACGGGAGGCAGCAGUAGGGAAUCUUCCGCAAUGGGCGAAAGCCUGGCGGAGCAACGCCGCGUGAGUGAUGAAGGUCUUCGGAUCGUAAAACUCUGUUAUUAGGGAAGAACAUAUGUGUAAGUAACUGUGCACAUCUGGACGGUACCUAAUCAGAAAGCCACGGCUAACUACGU